rnacentral:rRNA from 1 species
AUUGAACGCUGGCGGCAUGCCUUACACAUGCAAGUCGAACGGUAACAGGUCUUCGGAUGCUGACGAGUGGCGAACGGGUGAGUAAUACAUCGGAACGUGCCCGAGAGUGGGGGAUAACGAGGCGAAAGCUUUGCUAAUACCGCAUACGAUCUCAGGAUGAAAGCAGGGGACCGCAAGGCCUUGCGCCCACGGAGCGGCCGAUGGCAGAUUAGGUAGUUGGUGGGAUAAAAGCUUACCAAGCCGACGAUCUGUAGCUGGUCUGAGAGGACGACCAGCCACACUGGGACUGAGACACGGCCCAGACUCCUACGGGAGGCAGCAGUGGGGAAUUUUGGACAAUGGGCGCAAGCCUGAUCCAGCCAUGCCGCGUGCAGGAUGAAGGCCUUCGGGUUGUAAACUGCUUUUGUACGGAACGAAAAGACUCUGGUUAAUACCUGGGGUCCAUGACGGUACCGUAAGAAUAAGCACCGGCUAACUACGUGCCAGCAGCCGCCGCAGUAA